CUGCGUACCUUUUGUAUAAUGGGUCAGCGACUUAUAUUCUGUAGCAAGGUUAACCGAAUAGGGGAGCCGCAGGGAAACCGAGUCUUAACUGGGCGUUAAGUUGCAGGGUAUAGACCCGAAACCCGGUGAUCUAGCCAUGGGCAGGUUGAAGGUUGGGUAACACUAACUGGAGGACCGAACCGACUAAUGUUGAAAAAUUAGCGGAUGACUUGUGGCUGGGGGUGAAAGGCCAAUCAAACCGGGAGAUAGCUGGUUCUCCCCGAAAGCUAUUUAGGUAGCGCCUCGUGAAUUCAUCUUCGGGGGUAGAGCACUGUUUCGGCUAGGGGGUCAUCCCGACUUACCAACCCGAUGCAAACUACGAAUACCGAAGAAUGUUAUCACGGGAGACACACGGCGGGUGCUAACGUCCGUCGUGAAGAGGGAAACAACCCAGACCGCCAGCUAAGGUCCCAAAGUCAUGGUUAAGUGGGAAACGAUGUGGGAAGGCCCAGACAGCCAGGAUGUUGGCUUAGAAGCAGCCAUCAUUUAAAGAAAGCGUAAUAGCUCACUGGUCGAGUCGGCCUGCGCGGAAGAUGUAACGGGGCUAAACCAUGCACCGAAGCUGCGGCAGCGACACUAUGUGUUGUUGGGUAGGGGAGCGUUCUGUAAGCCGUUGAAGGUGGCCUGUGAGGGUUGCUGGAGGUAUCAGAAGUGCGAAUGCUGACAUAAGUAACGAUAAUGCGGGUGAAAAACCCGCACGCCGGAAGACCAAGGGUUCCUGUCCAACGUUAAUCGGGGCAGGGUGAGUCGACCCCUAAGGCGAGGCCGAAAGGCGUAGUCGAUGGGAAACAGGUUAAUAUUCCUGUACUUGGUGUUACUGCGAAGGGGGGACGGAGAAGGCUAUGUUGGCCGGGCGACGGUUGUCCCGGUUUAAGCAUGUAGGCGGAUG
rnacentral:rRNA from 1 species